rnacentral:lncRNA from 1 species
GAAACAACCGGAAGAUCCUGAACUGAUGAAUUAGAUGGACGAUCACAAUUGAUAAUCUUUAGUCCUUAAAUCACAGUCUUUAGUUCAUAUAUAUAUGUUGAUCGGAGCACUAAAUAAUUUUUCUUAUUGUAGUAUUCGUUGCCCGGUGCAGGUCUCAGUAGAAUACAAUUCGGGUUUUAGGAGGAUGAUGAUCACUGCCCGGUGCGGGUCUCAGUGCGGAAUCGGGAUCUCUGUGUUGUUUCACGACGUCUGUCCACUACCAAAGUUUUUCCACGACUCCCCUAUUUUUCGAAGUCUUCACUAUUAUAUUUUGGCUUCCUUUCCCUCUUUUGAUAUAUGUCUUUUUCCCUGACUACAUUCCUUAA